rnacentral:rRNA from 1 species
AGAGUUGAUCCUGGCUCAGGACGAACGCUGGCGGCGUGCUUAACACAUGCAAGUGGAGCGACGAACCGGGGCUUGCCCCGGGGCAGAGCCGCGAACGGGUGAGUAACACGUGGGUAACCCACCCCGAUGACCGGGACAACCCGAGGAAACUCGGGCUAAUACCGGAUGUGCUCCUUGACCUUGAGGUCAAGGCGUAAAGAUAGCUUCGGCCUUCGCAUCGGGACGGGCCCGCGGCCCAUUAGCUUGUUGGUGGGGUAAAGGCCUACCAAGGCGACGAUGGGUAGCUGGUCUGAGAGGACGAUCAGCCACACUGGGACUGAGACACGGCCCAGACUCCUACGGGAGGCAGCAGUGGGGAAUCUUGCGCAAUGCGCGAAAGCGUGACGCAGCAACGCCGCGUGGGGGAAGACGGCCUUCGGGUUGUAAACCCCUUUCAGUUGGGACGAAGCUUCGCCGGUGAAUAGCCGGCUGGAGUGACGGUACCUUCACAAGAAGCCCCGGCUAACUACGUGCCAGCAGCCGCGGUAAUACGUAGGGGGCUAGCGUUGUCCGGAAUCAUUGGGCGUAAAGCGCGUGUAGGCGGUCCGGUAAGUCCGCUGUGAAAGUCGAGGGCUCAACCCUCGAAUGCCGGUGGAUACUGUCGGGCUAGAGUGCGGAAGGAGGCGAGUGGAAUUCCUGGUGUAGCGGUGAAAU